rnacentral:rRNA from 1 species
UGCAUAGCCGUAAACCCGACAGCCCAGUACAUUUGCUGUCCGCCCGGGUACUACAAGCACGAGCUUUAAACCCAAAGGACUUGACGGUGCUUUACAUCCACCUAGAGGAGCCUGUCCUAGAACCGAUAACCCCCGUUAAACCUCACCUUUUUUUGCUUUAACCGCCUAUAUACCGCCGUCUCCAGCCUACCCUGUGAAGGUACAAUAGUGAGCUUAAUCGGCAUACCCCAGAACGUCAGGUCGAGGUGUAGCGUAUAGAAAGGGAAGAGAUGGGCUACAUUCAAUGAAACAAUGAAUACGAAUGGUUAAUUGAAAAAUUGACUUGAAGGAGGAUUUAGUAGUAAGGGGGGAAUAGAGUGCCCCCCUGAAAUAGGCCCUGAAGCGC